rnacentral:lncRNA from 1 species
UUAAAAACUAAACGUGACCUAGAAGGGAAAAAAAGAAAUUUCAGGAUUAAUAACUGAAUAUGUUUUAAUUGAAAAGCAAUGUCUUAACCUUGAAUUGCAUCUCAGUUGCCCACAAAGAAGGCUUGAGGGUUUUAAUAGAAUGAUUCUAAAAUAGAAGGAGGGUAUGGGAAUCUCCACCAUACUCAGAUUGGUGGUUACCUUCAGUGAUUCCAAUUUAGACUCAUCCUUUGUGGAAAGAAAUGUAAUCCACUGGGAAGGCCAGUAACUAUGAAUCAGCAGUUGGAUAAUUAUUUAGGUUACACUGAAUAACGGUCUUAGCUAAAGAGCUACCAUUU